rnacentral:lncRNA from 1 species
ACUACCUUGGACCUGAAAGCGAUCAAAUGUUUUAUUAUUAAAGCACAAUAUGGUGGUUACCUGAUGAUUCUUGAAGGACAAAUCCAGGAGUCUGAAACAAGUACCAACAUAACUGGGAAUUUUCAGCAUACUUGGCCGUGGCUGCUACAAGCCAGAGUGCCAACAUCUUUACAGAUAGGUGUGUUUUUUCAAGGAAGAAACGCUACUCAAGAAAGACAUAUGCACAUUGCAGCUGGAGAAACAUCAGUGACAUACAUAAUGAACUCUUAUUAUGUUGGUCAUCAAAUGGAUAUUUUUUGCCAAAGUGUACAUAACAGCAAGACUUUACAAGCAUCUGGCUACCCUAAGGCAAUCAAUCUGAUUCUGAGUUUACAGAAAUUAGAAAACAAAGCCAAGACUAUCUGCAAAGUCCAAUAUGAUGACAAAGAUAUAACUGUGAAUAUGGAUGUCGAUGCAGACUUUGAACUGUAUGGUACAUUUGAAUUCAUGGCAGAGAUGAAGCAUUCAAUACCACUUCUCAGUCAUCUGGGACUUCCCUUCUUCCUUAAGAUGGCAAUUCAUGAAGUCCUGACUGAAAAUGAAAUUGCAGGAGCUCUGCAGCUCAUAUGUGAACAAAACACAAGCUUUUCCUUAACCAUCAAUAGGAAAAAUGACCAGCAAGGUGCAGAGCUGACUAUAAAAGCCUUCCAGAACCUUCCCUCCUUUCUACAGUACUUCCCUAGCGCAGCAGGACUUUCUUCCAUGUUAAAAAGUCUUCCAAGGCAGCUUAUGUUCAUGACAGUUUACCAAAAAAGUAAUGGAACAUGUAUGCUGCGACACAUUGCUCUCUGGGAUGGCAGAGAGGUAAAAGUAACAGGCGCUUACACUGGAUUCUUCCCAAAGUUGCAUGGAGGUCAUAAAGUUAAGGUGGAGCUUUUCCAUCCUCUCUCCAUUCCUUUCCCCGGGCAUACCAAGCUCGACAUGUAUGUAGAACAUUCGGCACAAAGUCACUGGGAUGAUCUUACUCUUGUUUGGAAUGACAAGGACCAGGUAUCAGCAACGUCAUCACUGAAGUUUGGAAGAGAGCGCAUGAGCUACAGAGCUGCUGUUGCCCACCCGUUUAAUUUCACUCUGAGGCAGCUUGAGGUCAAUUCCCUGUCAGAAAGAAGAGGCAGAAAGUACAGCCAGCAGAUGCAGCUCAUGUGGAAUGGUGGGCAGCCUGCUGAUGUUAGAGUGACCUUGGAAGAUAAAUCAGAGAUGAAUAUCACUGCCUGGGAUGCUUGUAUGACACUCUCUUCAGGUCAGCUUCAGAGAGUAUUAAGAAUGGGACACUUUAAUGCAUGUGGGUCUCUAGAGCAAACAGCACUGUUGUUUAAUGAAUAUCUAGAUCUGAACUGGGAUGACAAAAAAUUCAAACACAGUUUGACUUAUGAGAGAAAUAGAUUCUUGUAUCCUGAUAAAUUUCAGUUAGAAGCCACUUUGGAAAACAUUUUCCUGACCUCCUGCACCAAACAGAAUGUUCUGGGUAAAAUAGAAACAAACUACUCAUCCUGGCUGUACUAUUAUAUUAAUUUUGGAUUCUGCGACCUCCCAACUGUAAUUGCUUUCUCUGGAAAACAUCAACUCAACAAAGGAGAUACUAUUUUGCAGUCAGAAAGCAGAUUACACCUUGCUGGUCGUGAAAGAGAUGAUGGGUUGAUUGAACUAUCAUUAAAAAAUAAGAGCACAGCUGAUAUGAAGAACUAUUAUGUGGAGAUUGAAUUAAAAGCCUUUGAAGAUAUUUGGCUAGGCCUGACAGGAACUACUUCUUCCUCAGCUGUUCAGAGCCAAAUCCUGGUGGAGGGGAUUAUUGAUCAGAAAGAGAAAGUGAAGGUAGCUGCUUCUAAAGGAAAUGAAUGUCUUCAGUACUACGUGGGGUAUUUGAAAGGGGAUCUGGAGGAAGGAAUGGAGGUCAGUGCUUGUACCGAUGGGCAACAGAUGGCUACUGUUAAUACCUAUCUCAACAUUAAUGGUGAAAGGCAAGAAAAAAUGGGACAACUGACCCUAACAGCUGUUAAUGAAAGCUUGAGUUUCCUGGCUCAAGGAUGUGGGGAUGCAGUUCUUAAGGCUGAGUACAAACUUAAUGAAAUUGGGAGCCUUGUAAAAGCCAAACUGAUAGAAAAGAUGAAGAAGUUUGAUGGAUAUAUUUGGAGAUUCAGAAAAUCAAUGCAGCGAGUUGAUUUCCUGUCUGAAGCAGCUGACUGGCCUUCAAUAGCCUUGCAAGAAGCAGCAGGCUUCCUCCACAGUGUGGGUAGAGCUGUCACCCAGGUGUGGAAGCAGAGUGGAAUCAGGCAGAUACUGAGAAGCAAGCUCCCACUUUACCUGGAUAAAAUUCAAGACAUUGUCCAGCAAAUGCAGAAUGAAUUGCAAAAGCCAUUAGCAACUUUGAAGGACGCCUAUUACGAUGUAACCUUGAAGCCAUUGGAUGAGGUUUGGCAUGAGAAAACAGAAGAGUACAUGAAGAAAGUCCAGGCUUUUGUGCCCAGGAUUGUAAAAGAUGUUUGGCUACUGGAACCAAUCCAGGUGGCAAUACGGGUUGUGAAAACAGGCCUGGAUAUGACCACACAUCAGAUGCUGAGGUGGGCAGAAGCCAUGUUGUCUAGAGCUGUGCGCAAGAUCCGGAAGCCCUUGCUCAACCUCUACAGUUUUUCAGCUAGGGACUGUUCAGUGGCAGUGAAACUGCCAGUACUUCCUAAAGCAGACAGCUCCCUGGACCUGGCAAAUAUUACUACCUAUCUCAUUGGAGAAAAGCUUAUGAGACCUCUCAAAGACCUGUACAACAUCAACGUAGUUGCAGAGUAUUAUAGAUUCAAACGGAGGAUGAUGGAGAGUCCCUUUGAACAUCAUGCUAUGUUAAUGGGGAACAAGCAUCUCAUGACUUUUGAUGGAAAAAUUUAUGAUUUGGCAUCAAAGUGCAAUGUGCUUCUUGCCAAGGAUUUUGUUCACAAUACUUUCACUGUAAUACUAAACCAGGAAAUCAAUGACUCAAGCUCACUGUAUGUGGAGAUGAACCAGACUGUGAUCAAUAUCUACCCAAGACUGAAGAUAUCCAAGAUGUAUAAUUCCUCCUUUAUGGAACAGAACUGCCAAGGAAUGGAUCGAUCUUUUGAAAAGAAUACCACUGAUUCAAGGAAAGAAACCAACAAAAUAGAAAUAUAUGAUCAGAACGGCGUUUCCAUCUCUUGUGACUUUCAGUAUGAUCUCUGUACUGUCACUCUGGCUGGAUGGCACCAUGGUAUUUCAGCUGGGCUUUUUGGUACCAAUGAUAAUGAAGCAGGGAAUGAAUGGAUACUGCCUAAUCAUUCCUCCACGGACAACGUGCAAGAAUUCACACAGAGUUGGCAGGUGAACAAGUGCACGCCCAUGCAGAAGAAAGUGAAGCCAUGUCCCACUACAGCUAAGCAAAAAGUCUGUGAAGUGCUUUUUGAAGAAGCUCACUCGUUUCUGAGGAACUGCUUCAAAGUUGUGGACCCUGAACCAUUCUACAGCAUGUGUAUGGUUGACACCUGUGACUCAAACGAGUUGAAAAGUGCUUGCAGCUUAGCAGCAGCAUUUGUUCACUUGUGCAACCGAAAUUUUGUCCCUGUGGAAAUUCCUCCUCAAUGCUUGAGCUUGUUCUGA